CAGUUCCCAGAGGCAGCCCAUGAAUGAGGGUGGGGUGGGGAAGCUCUCCUCCGCCAUCUCAGGGCCUGAAAUGCCACCACGAUCGAUCGCUCUGCUCAGGCUCAGCACUAAGCAUUCUGCUUCUCCCAGGAAAGCGAGCCUACUUCAGCCCUUCCUACUCAAGGGGCCAGACUCCAGGGGGCCCUGAGAACCUGGUGACCGAGAGAAGUGAGCUAGGCCAAGAGAUCAGGACCGUUGGAAUGUUCUCAGCAUCGUUCUUUGUCAGGGCAAAAAUCCAAGACAACCUGGGUGUCCCAGGCGAGGGGGAGUUAAGAGAACUCAGGCUCAUCCUUUAUAAGCCGCACCUGGGAGCAGUUCCAGGAAGAAGGCAGCUCUACGUAUCACAACAAGCUCGUGGAGAAAAAGGAGAAAGAGCCCAAACACUAAUGUUGCCCUGUGUCUGGACAUGUUGGGGAGAAAUAAAGGAGAGAGAGAAGAUCUAGCCCUGCGCUUCGGGGGUCCCCAGUCUGGGAAGCCUCAGAGGACCCCCUGAGGAGGAAGCAGCCAUGGAACUCAAAGACUCCUGGUGGAGAGAGUCAGAG